rnacentral:rRNA from 1 species
AUUGAACGCUGGCGGCAUGCCUUACACAUGCAAGUCGAACGGCAGCGCGGGAGCAAUCCUGGCGGCGAGUGGCGAACGGGUGAGUAAUACAUCGGAACGUGCCCAAUCUUGGGGGAUAACGCAGCGAAAGCUGUGCUAAUACCGCAUACGAUCUACGGAUGAAAGCAGGGGAUCGCAAGACCUUGCGCGAAUGGAGCGGCCGAUGGCAGAUUAGGUAGUUGGUGAGGUAAAGGCUCACCAAGCCUUCGAUCUGUAGCUGGUCUGAGAGGACGACCAGCCACACUGGGACUGAGACACGGCCCAGACUCCUACGGGAGGCAGCAGUGGGGAAUUUUGGACAAUGGGCGAAAGCCUGAUCCAGCCAUGCCGCGUGCAGGAUGAAGGCCUUCGGGUUGUAAACUGCUUUUGUACGGAACGAAACGGUCUUUUCUAAUAAAGAAGGCUAAUGACGGUACCGUAAGAAUAAGCACCGGCUAACUACGUG